rnacentral:rRNA from 1 species
CCUACGGGCGGCAGCAGUGAGGAAUAUUGGUCAAUGGUCGGGAGCCUGAACCAGCCAAGCCGCGUGAGGGAGGAAGGUACAGAGUAUCGUAACCCUCUUUUGUCAGGGCACAGAGACUGGGGCGCGUUCCCGGAUGAGUGUACCUGAAGAAAAAGCAUCGGCUAACUCCGGGCCAGCAGCCGCGGUAAUACGUAGGAUGCGAUCGUUAUCCGGAUUUAAUGGGUUUAAAGGGGGGGCAGGCGGUCUGUUAAGUCAGACGUCAAAGCCCGGGGCUCAACCCCGGCACCGCGUUUGAACCGGGCAGUCGUGAGUGGUAGAGAAGCAGGCGGAAGGCGCGGUGUAGCGGUGAAAUGCGUAGAUAUAGGGAGGAACUCCGGUGGCGAAGGCAGCAUGCCGGCUACACACUGACGCUGAGGCGCGAAAGCGUGGGGAGCGAACAGGAUUAGAUACCCGAGUAGUC